GGGGGCGCACCGGUUUCGACGGGGAUAGUGACGUCAAGGUUGCAGGCCGAGGUUCCGCGUGGCCUCGUUAAAAACGCGGAAACAAGAUAAUCGCCAACGAUUACGACUACGCCCUGGCCGCUUAAGGCCAGCCUCCGUCCGGCCCACGCCUGGUAAGCUGGAACCGGGGGACACCCCAUCAGGCUGGCGCGCUCCGUUGUCCGUUGAGGCGCGCGCGAGAACCUAAACGGUCUGGGAUCGGGAUGCCCGUUAGGGAGGCACGUCCGAGCCGAGAUCAAAUCCCUUACUAAGCCUGUAGACGCUUUGCCCGAGCGUUCUCGGACGGGGGUUCGACUCCCCCCGCCUCCACCA
rnacentral:tmRNA from 1 species